AAUAGAUACCCGGGUAGUCCACGCCGUAAACGAUGAGUGCUAAGUGUUAGGAGGGUUUCCGCCCUUUAGUGCUGCAGCUAACGCAUUAAGCACUCCGCCUGGGGAGUACGGUCGCAAGACUGAAACUCAAAGGAAUUGACGGGGGCCCGCACAAGCGGUGGAGCAUGUGGUUUAAUUCGAAGCAACGCGAAGAACCUUACCAGGUCUUGACAUCCUCUGACAACUCUAGAGAUAGAGCGGUUCCCCUUCGGGGGGCAGAGUGACAGGUGGUGCAUGGUUGUCGUCAGCUCGUGUCGUGAGAUGUUGGGUUAAGUCCCGCAACGAGCGCAACCCUUGAUCUUAGUUGCCAGCAUUUAGUUGGGCACUCUAAGGUGACUGCCGGUGACAAACCGGAGGAAGGUGGGGAUGACGUCAAAUCAUCAUGCCCCUUAUGACCUGGGCUACACACGUGCUACAAUGGAUGGUACAAAGGGCUGCAAGACCGCAGGUCAAGCCAAUCCCNUAAAACCAUUCUCAGUUCGGA
rnacentral:rRNA from 1 species